ACGCUGGCGGCAGGCCUAACACAUGCAAGUCGAGCGGUAGCACAGGGAGCUUGCUCCUGGGUGACGAGCGGCGGACGGGUGAGUAAUGUCUGGGAAACUGCCUGAUGGAGGGGGAUAACUACUGGAAACGGUAGCUAAUACCGCAUAACGUCUUCGGACCAAAGAGGGGGACCUUCGGGCCUCUUGCCAUCAGAUGUGCCCAGAUGGGAUUAGCUAGUAGGUGAGGUAAUGGCUCACCUAGGCGACGAUCCCUAGCUGGUCUGAGAGGAUGACCAGCCACACUGGAACUGAGACACGGUCCAGACUCCUACGGGAGGCAGCAGUGGGGAAUAUUGCACAAUGGGCGCAAGCCUGAUGCAGCCAUGCCGCGUGUAUGAAGAAGGCCUUCGGGUUGUAAAGUACUUUCAGCGAGGAGGAAGGCAUUGUGGUUAAUAACCCAGUGAUUGACGUUACUCGCAGAAGAAGCACCGGCUAACUCCGUGCCAGCAGCCGCGGUAAUACGGAGGGUGCAAGCGUUAAUCGGAAUUACUGGGCGUAAAGCGCACGCAGGCGGUCUGUCAAGUCGGAUGUGAAAUCCCCGGGCUCAACCUGGGAACUGCAUUCGAAACUGGCAGGCUAGAGUCUUGUAGAGGGGGGUAGAAUUCCAGGUGUAGCGGUGAAAUGCGUAGAGAUCUGGAGGAAUACCGGUGGCGAAGGCGGCCCCCUGGACAAAGACUGA
rnacentral:rRNA from 1 species